UGGGGAAUCUUGCACAAUGGAGGAAACUCUGAUGCAGCGACGCCGCGUGAGCGAAGAAGCCUUUCGGGGUGUAAAGCUCUUACGCCAGGGACGAUAAUGACGGUACCUGGAGAAGCAGCUGCGGCUAACUACGUGCCAGCAGCCGCGGUAAUACGUAGGCAGCAAGCGUUGUUCGGAAUUACUGGGCGUAAAGGGUGCGUAGGCGGCGCUCUAAGUUUGGUGUGAAAUCUCCCGGCUUAACUGGGAGGGUGCACUGAAAACUGGGGCGCUCGAGUAUGGGAGAGGAAAGCGGAAUUCCUGGUGUAGCGGUGAAAUGCGUAGAGAUCAGGAGGAACACCUGCGGUGCAGACGGCUUUCUGGACCAUCACCGACGCUGAGGCACGAAAGCGUGGGUAGCAAACA
rnacentral:rRNA from 1 species